rnacentral:misc_RNA from 1 species
GGGGAACUAUGGCAACUCAUAAAUUGCCACCAAAAACAGUGGUACAGAUGUUAAAGGAUAAUGGUAUUGGGAAAGUAAAGUUGUUUGAUGCAGAUCAAUCUACUAUGAGUGCUCUUGCUGGUAGUGAUCUUGAAGUUAUGGUUGCUAUUCCAAAUGAUCAGCUUUCUGCUAUGAAUGAUUAUGAUAGAGCUAAAGAUUGGGUUAAACGUAAUGUCACGCGUUAUAACUUCAAAGGAGGUGUCAAUAUUAAAUAUGUUGCAGUUGGCAAUGAGCCUUUCCUGACAUCCUACAACAAUUCCUUUCUUAACACGACUUUCC